CCCUUAGACACUCUAGGCGGCACGCGCGCUACAAUGGUCUUCGCAAACGGAUGCAUUCUCGAAGGAGAAUGCCAAUCUUGGAAUCUAUGCCUUGGUCGGGACAGUUGCUUGCAAUUUUUCGACUCGAACCAGGAAUUCCUUGUAAUCGUGAUUCAUCACAUCACGAUGAAUACGUCCCUGCCCUUUGUACACACCGCCCGUCGCUCCUACCGAUCGAAGAGUUAGGUGAAUUGUUUUGAUCGAUAAGAUUUGACUAUGGUCAACUCUCGUUGUGAAAUUCUGUGAAUCUGACUGUUUAGAGGAAGGAAAAGUCGUAACA
rnacentral:rRNA from 1 species